UGAAGCCCUAGUACUUUGGUUCCGCGUCGCAUCGGUCACAGCAGUUAAUGUAGAUAACCAUUUGAAGGAUGGAAGAGUCAACAAUCUUUGAGGAAUCCAAGCCUAAAAGCCCUGUGAGCAACGGUACUGUGAGAGGUUGGUGGUUUGGGAACUAACCUAAUUGUCAACUAGUUCCUGCUUAAACGUGAAAGAAGAGAGAACAAGAAAAUCGGAAAAGUUUGAGCUGCUCUGAGGCUUGGCAGGAAUGAUUACUCGGAGGAGGCUAGUACCACACUCACGCCCGCUUCUUGAGGUGGUGCCUUGUAGUCAGCCCUUCGUCUAUCACAGCCCCGACCACCUGGCGCUUUCGUCGCCGAUCCCUGCUCAGCACCCUCCGGCGCUUGAAUAACUUCUUCUUCAGCUCCUGAGGGAGAAAAAGACAGGCACAAGAGUAAAGUCACCGUGCAUGCCCAAAUUCCCGCACCCGGGUACUCUAGACACCACUGAUCCUGUCUCGGGAGAGGGAAACGCUCCGGGAAGCCUGGGGGAGCAAAGGGACAGCGCCCACAGUCACCGUGCGGGGACGAUUGAUCUUUCCUCCGGGAGGUCCCAUAGCGGCACUCUGAGGCGCACUCGUGGAGCCGCACUUCCGCUCCGCUCGCAGGUUCCGCCUGGCGCCAAGGCUCCGCCCGCCUCGCACCCCCGGACCAAUCGCAAUGCGAGGGGAGGGGCAGACUCCGGGCUUAUAUAAACGUGUUCCGCGGGCAUACGGGUCUUUCGAAGGACGUCUUUCACGUAAGUGGCUUUUGACUGUUGGUAUGCUUGGGCAGUUGGGCGCUGCUGGGAUCUGGGCCUGGCCUUGUAUACCCUCCAUUUCUUGGCGGGGACCAGGCGUGCGGUCCUGCUCCCCGUUAUGUACGGAGGCAGAAGGAAAGGGCUCCGGCCCUCUCGGCGUUAUGUCUUCGGUGCCUGCGGCCUCCCGUUCGCCGGUUCUAUCCUCAGACGCCGGGACAUCUCUCGCAAUGCAGAAAUGUAGCCAGAUCCGGCAGUCCCCUCUAUGCGGUACUCAACGCUCUUUUAUUUUGGUUUCAGGUCUGUGGAUGAUGCCCCGGAGUGACAGCUAACGUCUUUUCUUUUGCGGUUUAUUGUUGGAUCAGUAAAGUCAGUGAACCUAA